rnacentral:rRNA from 1 species
AACGAACGCUGGCGGCGUGCUUAACACAUGCAAGUCGAACGAGAAAGAGUUCUUCGGAACUUGAGUAAAGUGGCGCACGGGUGAGUAACGCGUAGAUAACCUGCCCUGAUGUCUGGGAUAACCCUUCGAAAGGGGGACUAAUACCGGAUAAUCUGAUUAUUUAUAAAAGUAAUCAGGAAAGAUGGCCUCUGAUGUAAGCUAUCGCAUUUGGAGGGGUCUGCGUACCAUUAGCUUGUUGGUGGGGUAAUGGCCUACCAAGGCGACGAUGGUUAGCGGGUCUGAGAGGAUGAUCCGUCACACUGGCACUGAAACACGGGCCAGACUCCUACGGGAGGCAGCAGUGAGGAAUAUUGCGCAAUGGGGGAAACCCUGACGCAGCGACGCCGCGUGAGUGAGGAAGGCCUUCGGGUCGUAAAGCUCUGUCAGAAGGGAAGAAAGUGUGCAUCGGGUUAAUAUCCGUUGCAUUUGACGGGUACCUUCAAAAGGAAAGCACCGGCUAACUCCGUGCCAGCAGCCGCGGUAAUACGGAGGGUGCAAGCGUUGUUCGGAAUCACUGGGCGUAAAGGGCGCGCAGGCGGUUUGAUUAGUCAGAUGUGAAAGCCCACGGCUUAACCGUGGAAGUGCAUUUGAAACUGUCAGACUUGAGUAUCAGAGGGGAAAGUGGAAUUCCCGGUGUAGAGGUGAAAUUCGUAGAUAUCGGGAGGAAUACCGGUGGCGAAGGCGACUUUCUGGCUGAAUACUGACGCUGAGGCGCGAAAGCGUGGGGAGCAAACAGGAUUAGAUACCCUGGUAGUCCACGCCGUAAACGAUGUCAACUAGGUGUAGGGGGUGUUGAUCCCCUCUGUGCCGCAGCUAACGCAUUAAGUUGACCGCCUGGGGAGUACGGUCGCAAGAUUAAAACUCAAAGGAAUUGUCGG